AUUGAACGCUGGCGACAGGCCUAACACAUGCAAGUCGAGCGGAUGAAGGGAGCUUGCUCCUGGAUUCAGCGGCGGACGGGUGAGUAAUGCCUAGGAAUCUGCCUGGUAGUGGGGGAUAACGUCCGGAAACGGGCGCUAAUACCGCAUACGUCCUGAGGGAGAAAGUGGGGGAUCUUCGGACCUCACGCUAUCAGAUGAGCCUAGGUCGGAUUAGCUAGUUGGUGGGGUAAAGGCCUACCAAGGCGACGAUCCGUAACUGGUCUGAGAGGAUGAUCAGUCACACUGGAACUGAGACACGGUCCAGACUCCUACGGGAGGCAGCAGUGGGGAAUAUUGGACAAAGGGCGAAAGCCUGAUCCAGCCAUGCCGCGUGUGUGAAGAAGGUCUUCGGAUUGUAAAGCACUUUAAGUUGGGAGGAAGGGCAGUAAGUUAAUACCUUGCUGUUUUGACGUUACCAACAGAAUAAGCACCGGCUAACUUCGUG
rnacentral:rRNA from 1 species